rnacentral:sRNA from 1 species
GCUUAAAAUUCUCUGGUGUUGCAAGUCGAAGCGGAAAGUCGGCGGUUACGGCUUUUUGGCGGCCCGCGUGUUUGUCUAUAUGUCGAAUGGAUGUGGCCCUCCUAACUGGCGUUAAACUAAUGCCGGGGGCAGCCUGUCGACAGCCAACCACCUUGCCACGCCCCACACCCCACACCCCACGCCUUGUAAUGACGUCAUUCAAGCGCUGACAAUUAAAUAAAUCAUAGAGCACGCGGUUCGGCCGAUUGAAAGAUCGAGUUAAUCUGAAGAGGAACUCCUGGUUCUUUCUUUCGUUGCCAGAGUGAAAUUGUAAAUGAAUUACACGUCCUGGUUGAUAAAUUUUUUGCUCGUUGACAACCAUAAAAUGACAGUCAUUGUGAUUGUUGCCACCGUUCCGUUACGUCUGCAACCUAAUGGGGCAAUGAGUGGAGUUGUGGGCUAAGGGGUGUUCCAUCCUGGUUGCAUAGCAGGUCUUGGGAUUUCCUUUUGGUUUUAGACUCGGGUUCCAAACUUAUUAGGUGACUUCUCUAGAACGCAACUCUGCGGCUUCUGGGGCCAACACUCACAUGCGGGAAAACAUUCUGCAUCACAGUUAAUAGCUGACAUCGUACACAACAACACGACGACAAGGUCCCCGCGACCAGCUUGUGUCAAGCCAAGCCAAGCCAGAUGUAAAGAACCGAUUUCUUCUAUUUUUGCUCGCUACUAAUUGCAACGGCUAGCCCAGGGAGUUUGUGCGUUCGUCCCACCAAAUUUAUGAUUUGUGUGAUUGCCUGACCAAGGAAAAGGACUCUUGGAUUAUGAUGUCCGUUAGAUCUGCUUUAGUCUGCUCCUCGCGCUUAGCUGCUUUCCUUAUUUCUUGAUCCCGCUGACGGUUCUGCUGCUGCUGCUGGCAAUAAUCCGGCUGUCAAUACUGUUGCUGUGUUUGGCAAUAACGGCGGUCCUGCUUCUGCUGAUUUGGAUCCAUAUUCUGUGGAUGCUUGUGGUACUUAUUGCCAUCUACAAAAACAACCACCACUAAAUAUCGCGCUGGAAUAGCCGAGGAAGACAUAGCCAUGCUGAAUGAAAUCGAUGAGAGCACCAGUGAUCCUCUGAAGGCAGUUCUUGGAUUACGAGCAACGCAUUUGCCGGCACUACGAUUCCAAGCUGAAUGGCUGUUUUAAGGGUAACAACUGUCGUUUGGCUCAUGAGCCCUUUCCUCCAAAUGGCGCCACCAAGGAUGUCGAACUAGCUAGAGCUCUUCCGGAGACAAUCCUUGAUACACCAGAGAUGUGCCAGAGAACAAACGGACCUUCAAGUCGAAACCGCGUCUUCUCGACACUGUACUUGCUCUCUACAGCGAUGGUUGCUUCUUUCGCGCCCAAAUAAUCGAUGAAUUUCCCAAUGAGUACAUGAUCUUCUAUGUGGAUUACGGCAACACGGAAUUCGUGCCCGUGUACUGUUUGGUCAAAAUAUCUGACACACCAAACGACAAUGGAUUGCAUUGAGUAUCUCAAGAGUAAGCUGCUAAACACGGAGAUGAAUGUACACCUGGUACAGCGCCUGCCGGAUGGCUUCCUAAUUCGCUUCCUGGACGAUGGGAAAGAUAUACCUCAACAGCUAUUGCGACGCAACUACGCCCAGAUGGAAGAGUGAUUACUCACCGUAGUAUGUUUUCCAACUCUUCGCGCGACAAUGAAAAGCUUC